rnacentral:lncRNA from 1 species
CUGGGGAGACUUGUCCCUGGGUCGGGAUUUCAAAUCGAAAUUUCACACCCUCCCCCUCCUCGCUCGCUCUCACCCCUCUUCCCUCUUCCCUAAUCCCCAAANGCUCACUCACUUCCCCUCCCCGUCUCCGCAGUCGCGAGAGCCAUCUCUUCGAUGCAGGACACGCUCCUCGACGCGGCCUUCAAAGGCGACCUCCCCCUCCUCAAGAGUGAGUUUCUCCCUCACCCGCCUCCCGAUUUCGGCCCCCGGCUGUUUGGCGUUCCUCCGAGCUCUGAUUUUUUUGUUUUGGGGGGCGGUUGCAGGGGUGGUGUGGGUGCUGGAUAACGGCAUGGGCUGCCCCAGGGAGGCGGUGN